UCUAGCGAGUUUCAUGGCGGCCCGUACCCUAAACCGACUCAGGUGGUCAGGUAGAGAAUACCGAGGCGUUCGGGUGAACGUAUGGUUAAGGAACUCGGCAAAAUGCCCCCGUAACUUCGGGAGAAGGGGGGCCGACAUCUGGUGAUGAGCUUUGCGCUCUGAGCUGGGGGUGGCCGCAGAGACCAGCGAGAAGCGACUGUUUACUAAAAACACAGGUCCGUGCGAAGCCGUAAGGCGAUGUAUACGGACUGACGCCUGCCCGGUGCUGGAACGUUAAGGGGACCGGUUAGCUCCAUUUCGGUGGGGCGAAGCUGAGAACUUAAGCGCCAGUAAACGGCGGUGGUAACUAUAACCAUCCUAAGGUAGCGAAAUUCCUUGUCGGGUAAGUUCCGACCUGCACGAAUGGCGUAACGACUUCUCGACUGUCUCAACCAUAGGCCCGGUGAAAUUGCACUACGAGUAAAGAUGCUCGUUUCGCGCAGCAGGACGGAAAGACCCCGGGACCUUUACUACAGUUUGAUAUUGGUGUUCGGUUCGGCUUGU
rnacentral:ncRNA from 1 species